AAUAUUGCGCAAUGGAGGAAACUCUGACGCAGCGACGCCGCGUGAGCGAGGAAGGUUUUCGGAUCGAAAAACUCUGUCCUGGGGGAAGAAGUGCUUCGGCCUUGACGGUACCCACGGCGAAAGCCCCGGCUACCUACGUGCCAACAGCCGCGGUGAUAAGUAGGGGGCAAGCGUUGUCCGGAAUUAUUGGGCGUAAAGGGUGCGUAGGCGGCCUUUUAAGUCAGAUGUGAAAGCCCACGGCUUAACCGUGGGAUUGCAUUUGAGACUGGAAGGCUUGAGUAUCGGAGAGGGUAGUGGAAUUCCCAGUGUAGCGGUGAAAUGCGUAGAUAUUGGGAGGAGCACCAGUGGCGAAGGCGACUACCUGGACGAAAACUGACGCUGCGGCACGAAAGCUAGGGGAGCAAACA
rnacentral:rRNA from 1 species